GCAUCCUCCGUCAACACGCGCUCGCCGCUUUCUGUAGAGCUGUGGUCAAAAACGCGCAAGGUGACGUUUGCUAAACCCCCGUCCAGAGGCAGGCUCCUUUUGCCCAAGCUGACCAAUGGGAGGCUUCUCAGCACAAAACCAGAAUACCUUUGUAUUCUUUAACCGGGACUGUCAGACAAAGUUCCGAGGGCUCCAUGUGAUUUUGUUUUAUAUGUCUGUUUGUGAAUUACUUGUAAUAUUUGACUCCUUUUUUGUAGUCCUCUAUUCUACAACUGAUAGCUAGGUUGGGGGCGUGGCCAAUGCGACUCCCACUGGCAGUCAGGUGGUACAAGUCCAAUGCUAACCAAUGAGCUGUCGAGGAAAUGAGCUAAAUGGGUGGAUCUUUUCAUAUGACGUCAUAUCAUGCUACUUUUUUCAGCCAGUGAUAUAGGACCACCAUUUUGAUGGUGGAGUAAGUGGGUCUGAUUGGUCAGAUGCUCUUUAGCUAGCAUAGCAUAAGGUUUAAGGAGUUUUAAAAUAUUUUAAAGAAUUACAAUAAAAUCAAAUUGGCUAGCUACCAUCGCAUUUUAACGUAGCUAAUAGCUAAACUUAAUUUAGUACACGUUCUGCUAAGAGUCGAUACUUUUGAGCAAACGGAUUGAAGCUACUUGUUGUCUGUGUUACGGCCUACCAAUAACUCUUUGUGAAGAAAGGUCAGUUCAUCAGAGCAACAAUGAUGAUAGUCCAGUCUAAGGCUUCUUUGUGGCGCGUUCGUAACCUUCAAUUUCUUCCAUUACCAAUCUUUUGUAUAAAUCCUGGACCAUUGAAUAAUUUUAUUAGCUAUUCUUUUAGUAUCACUUGAUGUCGUCAUGUAAAUACAAAGCUAUAUCUGUACAAACAUGCUGUAAUUUCUCAUUACAAUUAUCUAUCAAAAAUCUACACUUGAAAUAUUUUCCGAUGUUAAAGUGAUGUAACAACUUCAUUUACAUUUUGACCAACAAGAUUAUUAUCUACCAUUGUGCACUCUUGUCAGACAAUGUAAACCAGGAUGAUCAAAUUAUCUGUGGAACCAGAAGAACAACACGAGGGAGUUGGAUGGCAUUAUCUCUUGAUCCAAGAUGGAGAAGAAAAGGGAUUUUUUCCAUUGUAGUUUAGAUUCCCUCUCUUCAAACUAGGUUAUGUUACUGAUCUGAUCAACCACUUGGAGUUCAUUCAUGCCCGCCCAGUCAUAGAUAAUCAAGCCUGUGAUUUAAGAUGCUCCUUAAGUCAUUUCAAAUCUACCCUGUCACUGUUGUGACCUUGGAAUUUUGUGUGUUCUUGACACAAUAAUUGUUUUAUUUGGUAUCAUGGCCAACAUGACCAUUCCUUCUAUUUAUCCUCUACUCACUUAAUGUAAACUCCCCACUCAUCUAUCCAUCUUAUUUUGUGUCAUCUAAUUAACAUUUCAUCUCUUGUAAUAAACACGUUGACACAAGACACUUAAUUACAGCUUUAUUGGCUCCUCCUAGAGUAAUGUUUGAGCUGGGACCCUUGCAUACCACACCAAGGAAAUAUUUCUGUGGCUGUAAUUCCUUUGAAGCAGAGGCUAUCAAUAGUUUCAAAUUCCAAGUGCACAUCAAUCUGCCCUUGGUAUUUUAAUGAGGUUGAAGCUCGGGGUAAAGGUACCUACUCAAUAUUCAGUAUUUAUAUUAUUCAAAAACCAGCAUCAUCAGGAAUCAUUAUUACUUGUGCACUGCUGUCUUGUCUAUUGUCACAUUGUCUACUGUCGCGCACCAACCGCCAAGACAAAUUCCUUGUAUGUUUGGCAUAUUUUGGUAAUAAAUGUUUCCUGAUUCCUGAUGUGGAUUUCCAGUUCAAAAACUCUUUAAUGAGUGAAUUUUAGACGUUCUGGUUGGUUAGAAGGCUUCAGAAGCAUAUACAAACAUAUACUGAUAUAGUAAAAGUAUUAUGGUUAAGACAUAUUUUAGAACCCUUCAUCACUGGACUGUAAUAAAAUCAGCUUUUAAUUAAGUCCAAGUCGGUUUACUUUUAAGAAAAGUUCAGACAUUUUUAAAGAUUUUCUGGCAUAAGAUGAUACUGUACUGUGCAUCCUCUGAUCGGAGCUGAUUUAUUUCUCAUUUGGACAGCUGAUACUUCAUCAAACCACAUUGAAAUACUUUAGCUACUAUUACGAUGAAUUGGCUAUAAAGAACAUCUCAUUCUGUAAUGCAACAUAUUAAGCCUAAGCUGCGCUAAAUUUGUAUUGAAUUGUUUCCAGGACAUUGAAAUGCUGUGCAAUCAGAAUAUACGCCGGAUGAGAUCAUACCAGGUCCAAAACAUGUUUUUUAUGAUAAUGUUGGCCAGUUAAGUAAAGAACUUGUGUACGAGUCUACAACGGUUUGUUGCACCAAAAAUCACACAUACACAAGAUCAGUGAUUUCAAUCAGAAAUGUAUUAAAUUAAUCACUUUCAUUACUUAAACAAGCACAAUUUACAGUCAAAAACAGGCUAUGGUCCAUUAGUGCCUUAGACAAGCAAGUAAUUAAUACAUUAGUCAUUUAUAACACACAAGGGCAGGAUUCUUUAAAAACUGCAGUUCAGUAACAACACAUUUUAUUUUAUCAGACAUGAGACAUUUAGCUGUACAAGAGACUAUGCAUCGUGUCCCUCAUAACUUAAGAGAGGCAUGAGGAAGUUUAUCAUUUGUUGUGUGCACUGCCUCAGAGAGGUCUGCGUACAGCUAGUAUGCCUUUUGUGUGAGAGCCGGACAAAUAGGUCCGCAUCUGCCACCUACAGAUUGUUUAAGUUUGAGAAAUAGCCGCUUUGCAGCUUUUUCAGAUCCUGUAAAAAAAGAAACCAGGACCAUCCCAUGACGAGACACCAAUGUGAAGAUCUGAAAAAUCAGAGCUCUGGUGCUAAAUGUCACAGUACUUAUUUAACCUACAAAAGAUUGUGUGCAUUUAUAACCAGAUUAACCUGUCUCUAUUAGAGGCAAGAGGUGCAUUAAGGUGUAUGCAGCUUCUCUGUAUUCAAGUUACAGCUCAACUGAGAGAGAAUAUCCCACAGCUAUUACUUCAUGCCUUUCGAGUAAAGGGGAAACCACUGAGGUCACAAAUGGCCAUCACAGGACACUUAAUUCAUGUAGCGUUAAAAAACACAUAAAUAUCUCGUCCGAAAAACACUGUUAGUUGGUCCACAGUAUAAUGCCUGGGCAAAACACAUAAAAAUCUUUAAAUUUGCUCCAGUAUUAUCUGAGUCCAAUAAAUAAAAAUGCAUUGAGGUGAGCUGCAUUAAAGAAACCGGUUACAUCAGUCGUAAUUUCAUUUAGACUUUGCAAAGUGAAGUAUUGAAUCUACACAUGGCAAGGAUUAUUUCAAACACUUCCAAAAUGAUCCACGAACAAAAUGUAUUGGUGUUGAACAGACACAGGAUUUACACGACUGUCAAAAGGUGAUCAUUAGAGAACAUGAAAUAAAUCAAUUGUACAUUUUGCAAACUGA